AGGGAGGGGGUUCCAUCAGUGCGCAAGUACCUGGUCUGCUCUCAUGUCUACUGCUUUGGGGCAGUACUUCUCCCCUGGGGAGAGCUCCUGAUCCCUCGGAUGCCUUCAGAAGCUGUUGGCUGCUGUUAGUGCUGCUGAAUAACAAUCAGGCGAAAGACUUAGAGAAUGUAUGAGAUGCUGGGUCAGCAAGAGGAAAAAGAAUGAUGAGGCUUUCUGAGAAAUUAUCCCGUCAAAAGUCUGCAGUUGCCUGGCAGUGAAUUCGACCUUCAGUUUCUGGACAACUCUGGUGCAAAAGACUCAGCAGUGCAGAGGACUAUGACAGCACUUUAUGCAUGUGAAAGACCCAGAGUUCAUGCUUUACUGAGCAGAAAUCAGUGAUCUCUUCUUGCCUCUACCUCUGCCUCUACUUUUAAUGUGUUUUCUAUGUUCUGGAAACUCGUGCAGAAUUCUUAUGCCAGUUUGACAGAAUUUUAUAAGGGAACUGAAUUUGUCUAUGGUUUGGAAAGGUCCCAGAAAAGAAUGAGAGUGGGAACCCUCAAGUGCUACUGCAAUGCAAGAAAUUAUUGAUUAGGCUAAAAUCAGAUUACUGGUUUACUCCUGCUCUAAAUUACCCUGUAUUAUGUGAGUGUAACCCCUACAAAAAUUAGAUACGCUCCAUACCAUCUCCUUUACUUUAUGGACUCCGGAUGUCUGGUUUCCAGGAAGGCAAAGACCCACCACUUUUCCCAUCCGAGUUCUGACGAACAGUGCUCAUAAAGUCCCAGAAUCAAAGAUGCACAGAAAAUCAGGUAUUCAGUGACAUAAAAUGUUUUCAAAAAUUGACAUGCCUGAGGGACUGGAUGCCAUCCAGAGGGACCUGAACAAGCUUGAGAAGUGGGCCCAUGAGUGGGCCCAUCGUGAGGUUCAACAGUCCCCCAUACAAAUACAGAUUGGGGAAUGAAGGGAUUGACAGCAGCUCUGAUGAGAAGGACUUGGAGGCAAGAAAAAGAGGCUGUCCUUGAAUACUGACGUAGUAACUUUUGACAUCUGGAGAUGCUGUGUUCUUAUCAUUUCCAGGAAAACAGUAUCUAGAGGAAAUGCACCCAAAAAGUUAAGAUGUAUAAUGCUAAAGUGUCCAUGACAGACCAGCAUGACAAGACAUGAAGCUUACAUAACUGAUAGCUACAUUAUACAAACCCAAGAAUGGGUUAAGUAAUGUCCUCCUAUGCAAUCAUACUACAGCCAGAGUUACUUCCCCCUCACCACAACCUGUCACAUCACAAACAACACGAGAUGCCAAGCCUUUAGAAAGAGGAACCUGCAAGUAACUCGUGGGUGUUUAUGGGUAGUGUUUGACUAAGGCUGAUCUAAGAAUCACUGGAAAGAUUAAACUAUGAGCUGUGCUUGAUCUGUCUAUAAUAUGAAAAGAGAAAUAAUUGUCUCACUGUGACAGCCCAUGUGUGUGUAUAUGUGUGUGAAUUUGCAUGUCACUACUGAACACAGAAACUGAUUUGUCACACUAGAGUACCCCGUCUGUCUUAGGAAGAUCUUUCUUGUAGUGUCCAUGAUGAGGUCUGUCCAUGGAGGUUUUCAAGACUCGCUUGAUUGAAAACCUCAAACGACCCUUUCUGAGCUCAUUGUUGAGCCUGCUUUGAGCAGGAGGUUGAGUAGGAGACCUCCUGAGUGCUCCCCCUUGCAACAGCCUCUGUGAUCCUACAGCUAUAGCUGGAUACCUACAGAGCGUCACAAGAAACUACUGUGCUAUACUGGAAAAUGUAUGUAUUUCUUUACAGUGUUUUUUUUUUUCUUGUUUCACUUUGGGAAGGGGGGGUGGGAAAGGAGGAGGUAUUUAUUUGGGAGUUUUUGUUUGUUUAAAUUUUUCUUAUUUCCUUUUUUUCCCCCUCUGAAACUCACAAGAAAGUAGAUUUCUACCAAAAUUUUACAGGAUAACUCCUUGUUUCACCUGACUUUUCAUCAUAAUAAAAUAUUUAUUUAAUGAAGUUCCAUUAAUGUCUGGUCUUUUUUCUUCAUGCUUUAACCCUGAUUUUUUUCUUCUUUUUCUCUCCAUGUUACUGGUUAAAUAAAAAUAUUAGCCUGCACAGUGGGAGUGAAAUUGAAAUUAAAGAUGCUGUCUAUUUAAAAAGCUUUUAAAAUCCUCCAAAAUCAUAAGAAAAACAUAAUUUAAUGAAAAUGUACAAGUUAUUGUGGGUUUUUGUUCCCAGACAGCUUUUUUCUUCAGAAAUGGGCAUGAAUCAUGGUAAGUUUUUUAAUAGUAGUAAUCAGAAGGCUUUGCAACUGAAACCAGUCAAAUUAUGGCUUCUAAAUGUAGACUUUUUUUUGUUAAAUGUUUAGUAUAGCCAUUCAGGGAAACAUAAUGUUGUUUGCUGCUAACUAGCACAGAUUGAAAGUAUUUUUCAGUCUCGAUGUUGAGUUGUCUAAGAACCUUUGUUUAUAUUGCAUCCUAUUUAUGCAAGAAAAUGAACUUCAUUUUGAAGCUAGUAUCUUUGAAAUAGAGGAUAAUUUGCACUGCAUGGAUUCUGUCUGCAAUAUCAGCUAAGUUUGCUGAGAAAACCAGUGGUAAAAACAGUAAUGUUCAAACAACUAUAUCUUUAUUCUAUGGAUUAAAGGUGUGACAAUUUACCAAAAUAUAUACCGGUGUGAGUCUUAAUAACCUAUGGUGGAAUUAUAUCUGUUAAAUCUCUAAAACAAAUGACCAUCAUAUUUUUUUAGAAAUGCCAUUUGGGACUGCUUGCUAACUUAAUUUCUGCUAAAAAUUAUGACACAAGAAUCACAGUCAAGAAGUUGGUCCUAAAAUUCUAUUAAAAAAAUCUUUCUCUGGUCCAGUUCAAGAGAGAUUUAAUUCCUCUCAGUCCAAUGAAUGAGAUUUGCUUUGUGAUUCUUGAAACCGACGCUAGUUUGAAGACAAGUUUAUGAAGGCAUUGGCUGAUCUAGUGUGAAAUUGGGUGUUUGAACAGUACUUUUCUCAAGAGAACACAAAAUCUACCAACCUGGGGAUGACACUGUGAUAUAUAUAGUUGCAAACUUCCGUACUUUGGAGUACAAUGCAUGAGUAUCAAUAUCAGGUUCACAUCUGCCCAUCAAUAUAGACAAUGUCAUAUAACUUUGCUCAGUGACUUAAAGGCAGAAUUUCUGAUUGGAAGAGUGGACAAUUGUCAAGAAUUGUUUGGAAGAUAGUUGGACUGAAGACUGUACCUAGUAAAUAGUUCAUACAAUAGCUGUGGAAGAGAAAAGAGUGUAGUUAUAUUAUUAAACUAUUAAUCAGUAGGUUCUGUGCCUUAAGUAAUUUGUUGAGUUUGUGAAUGAAUAAAAUUAUAAACUGAAGUCUUCUAAGUCUUUGGAAGAUGACCUAGCUGUGGACCAUCCUUUCUUUUGUUUGUGAUGGCUCCAUACAGGAGGUUUUUCUCUUUUUACAGUCCUAAAGCUACGAUAAUUGACUUCUGAAAUUAAUCAGCUCUCUGAAUAAUCAACUUUUAGUCAAUGCACCUGUAAGGUUCUGCCUGAACAGCGUUUAACAGGAUUCAAUUAAUAGACUGUGAAGUCCUUGGGACAGAGUUUUUUUCUUAAUUUUAUGCUUUCACUUUAUGGCGUUGAUUUUCUAACAAUUUCAGUGAGUCCCUGAGAAUACAGGUGCUCUCCAAGCCUGAAAAUACAUUUCUCACUAUUCACUCUUGCUCUUGAGUAUUUCCGAUGCAACCAGAUUAAAAUGUGCUUCUCAUAUUCUGAGUGUCCUGGCUUCCUAACGUUUUUAAAAGGGUCAUUCACUUUAGUGAGAGUUUGCAACUGAAUGAAAAAUUCACUGGAUUUGAUUUUUGCAUUCUCACAUGCUAAAAGGAAAGUGAAGUACAAAAUUACCUUCUUAAAACUUAAAAAUUACCAUGUCGAAAUUGAAUUACAGACAUGAUGAAGAGAGGUAUCUUAUCCAUAUGAAGCAUAUACAUGCUAGUUGAUAUCAGUAUGCCGACAAGAAACCAAGAAGAUUUCCAGAAAUCCUCAGCAUCUAGAUCCGGAUGAGUUUCAAGACAUGGUUGUCUCUAGUCUAGUGCUAUAACGAAGUACCAGAUUUUCAAACAUUUUUAAGCAUUGAUAUCCCCCCCAUCUUAAUGGGAGCAGGUGGAUGAACACAUUUGGAAAUCUAGUUCACUACUAUACUGAAAGGAGAAUGAGAGAUCAGAUGUUUUCAAGUGCAGAUGUAUCUGUUAGUACCCUGGAAUAGAACAAACCUGUCUCUUUAUUUCUGUAUAUUUCAAACAUAGGAUAACAGAAUGGUAGAAUAUGCUGAGUUGGAAGGGAUCCAUAAAGAGCAUCAAGUCCAACCCUUAGCCCUGCACAGGACCAUCUCCAAAAGUCUCAUCAUGUGCCUCAGAUUAUCAUCCAAAUGCUUCUUGAACUCUGUCAGGCUUGGUGCUGUGACCAUUACAUAUGUGUUGCAGAAAGAUUGUGGUGCUCCUAAAAGGUCAGAUAUUGCUUCCAAAACUAGAGGUGAAAAACUGAUUCUGUUAGCUAUCAUCAAUGGUCUCAUUUGCCAACAAUUAUUUAACUUCAUAAAUCUUUAAGGAUUUUACAAGUAAAACUCAUGCAGCUUUAAAACUGUUGAGUUUUGUUGUUUU